AGCCGACGCAGGCAGCCGCCGGGUGAAGUACGCAGGUACCGCAGGUACCCGGCGCCCGCCCGAUUUCAGGGCAAGUUACUGUUUUCAGAAUCCAAGGGGAAUCUAACACCUAAACAAUGCCAAGAGAAAAGGAAGGAAAACGAAAAACUAAAGGAGCACUCCUGCCCAUCAUUCCAACUCUUAAAAAGUUCCUGAAAACGUAUGAGAAGUAUUGUGCACAGACUCAGACGUCUGUGUGUCCAGCCAUCAAAAGGGACUUGAAAACCAGCAUCAAUAAUGAACAGAUUCUCAGGAAGUUUGUACUUGUAAGACCUGAUGACUCCCCGCCAGGCAUCCUACCAAUUUCCUUGGAACCUUUGCUCAUGACAGUUCAGGAUGAGUGUUUCACUCUGGGGAGAGAGAUCUGCAUUUGGGGCCUUCAACUGAGCAACCCAGAGAUGGCCAGACUCGCUUUGCUUUUGGAAUCAAAGGGGUGCACCACCUGCCCAUUUACCACCCUGGAACUCAUUGAUUGCAAGAUGGAUCUGUGGUCCCUGGGGAGACUUGGGAAGGCUCUUCAGUCCAGCAGUUUGCAAACUCUUGUUCUUGAUUACUGCAAAUUUGGAAAUGAAGAAAUUGAGAGGAUUUUCUCAGGCCUGGAGAACAACCAAAGGCUUCAAGUCCUCAGCUUACGUUACUGUGGUCUGGGGCCACAGAUUGGGCCAAGGCUGGGCUCUAUCAUAUGCCAGAGUGCCAUUUGUGAGCUGCACCUUGAUGGCAAUUACUUGCAGUGUUCUGGAGCUCUGGAUCUCCUCAGACCCGUAGCAGAGUAUGCAGAGAUGCAGGGGAAAGACCAGCCAGCCACUUGCUCACCAGACCCUAGGCAUCCCCCUCAGCUGCUCCAAGCUAAGCAGAGAGGAAGUUCAACUUUGAACCAGAUUACAAAGUCAUCUGGAGCUCUAACAGUGAAAACUACUUCAGGAAAGAAGAGAAAAAAAGGAAUCAAGAAAAAACUUAAAAAUUUGGAAGUUGGACCUUGGUUAGUGAAGUUGUAUUUGGCAGAUAAUGGCAUAGAUGGAAAAGGAAAAGAAGGAGAAAAUAACUUGCUGGAAUUCACUCAAAUUUUAACAUGCCUGAUCAAAUACUCUGCCCAUUUAAGGGAGAUUGACCUUGGAAACAAUGUCCUGGGAGAAAUGGCUGCUGCUGACAUUCUUGAAGCACUGAGAGCCAGAAAGACAGGUAAACUUCCAGUUUUAAAAGUUACAGUAACCCCCCAGAUCUCUUCAGAUACCUUCAUGUCUAUUUGGGAAAAUAGCAAGAAAUCAAGUACUACCCAUAAAAAGAGGAAAAAGGCUAGAAACUGA
rnacentral:lncRNA from 1 species